GGGCACCGCUGUGGAGAAUGUAUGGAAAGGAGCACACAUCAUGUGUGAUUUGGCUGGAACAGUGAGUUCCUGAUUUGCAGACCUCCUAGAUCCUGCCUACCCACAGGAGAGGGGAUUGCUGAGUGAUGGAACAGUGACACAUGAAGGUGACAAAUGUCUCAGCCUCCAUUCAAGAUAAGACUCUUGAAUUCAUUUAGAAGUGGUU
rnacentral:lncRNA from 1 species